AGCGAACGCUGGCGGCAGGCCUAACACAUGCAAGUCGAACGAACCUUUCGGGGUUAGUGGCGGACGGGUGAGUAACACGUGGGAACGUGCCUUUAGGUUCGGAAUAACUCAGGGAAACUUGUGCUAAUACCGAAUGUGCCCUUCGGGGGAAAGAUUUAUCGCCUUUAGAGCGGCCCGCGUCUGAUUAGCUAGUUGGUUGAGGUAAUGGCUCACCAAGGCGACGAUCAGUAGCUGGUCUGAGAGGAUGAUCAGCCACAUUGGGACUGAGACACGGCCCCAACUCCUACGGGAGGCAGCAGUGGGGAAUCUUGCGCAAUGGGCGAAAGCCUGACGCAGCCAUGCCGCGUGAAUGAUGAAGGUCUUAGGAUUGUAAAAUUCUUUCACCGGGGACGAUAAUGACGGUACCCGGAGAAGAAGCCCCGGCUAACUUCGUG
rnacentral:rRNA from 1 species